rnacentral:rRNA from 1 species
CUUUUCCUACGGGGGGCAGCAGUGAGGAAUAUUGGUCAAUGGCCGUAAGGCUGAACCAGCCAAGCAGCGUGAGGGAAGACUGCCCUAUGGGUUGUAAACCUCUUUUAUGCGGGGAUAAAGGCGUCCACGUGUGGAUGUUUGCAGGUACCGCAUGAAUAAGGACCGGCUAAUUCCGUGCCAGCAGCCGCGGUAAUACGGAAGGUCCGGGCGUUAUCCGGAUUAAUUGGGUUUAAAGGGGGCGUAGGCCGGUCUUUAAGCG